CUAAGCAGGUUAAUAUUCCUGCACCACGAAUGACAGCGUUGACCUGAGCAGGGACGGAGAAGGGUAGGCCGAGCUAGCUGUUUGGAUGCUAGUUCAAGCCCGUAGGUAGAGACCAUCGGACCCGACAGGGACAAACGUGGUCUCAAUACCGAGAGGUGAUGAGGUUAGGCUUCGGCCUAAAAACUCGGUGAUCCCACGCUUCCAAGAAAAGCUGCGCAGUGAGCUCCAUCCGUGUCCGUACCGCAAACCGACUCAGGUGGGCGGGGUGAGUAUCCCAAGGCGCGUGAGAGAACACUGACUAAGGAACUCGCAAAUUGACACCGUAACUUCGGGAGAAGGUGUGCCCUCAUUACGUGACUGGACUAGCGCCAGAAGCGGACGGGGGUUGCAGAGAAAUGGGGGUUGCGACUGUUUACCAAAAACACAGGACUCUGCGAAGUCGCAAGACGACGUAUAGGGUCUGACGCCUGCCCGGUGCUGGAAGGUUAAGGGGAGAAGUUAGGGCAACCGAAGCUUCGAACCGAAGCCCCAGUAAACGGCGGCCGUAACAAUAACGGUCCUAAGGUAGCGAAAUUCCUUGUCGGGUAAGUUCCGACCUGCACGAAUGGCGUAACGACAUCCCCACUGUCUCGGUCAGUGACUCAGCGAAAUUGUAUUGGGGGUGAAGAUACCCUCUACCCGCGGCAAGACGGAAAGACCCCGUGAACCUUUACUGCAACUUGGCAGUGAAGUUCGGGACAAUCUGCGUAGGAUAGGUGGGAGACUUUGAAGUCGGGAUUCUGGUCUCGAUGGAGUCGUCCUUGAAAUACCACCCUGGUUGUUCUGGACUUCUAACUCAGCUCCUACACGGAGCGAGGACACUGCCUGGUGGGCAGUUUGACUGGGGCGGUCGCCUCCCAAAAAGUAACGGAGGCGCACGAAGGUUCCCUCAGGCUGUUUGGAAACCAGCCGUAGAGUGCAAAGGCAUAAGGGAGCUUGACUGUGAGAUCGACAGAUCGAACAGGUGCGAAAGCAGGUCUUAGUGAUCCGGUGACUCCAUAUGGAAGGGUCAUCGCUCAACGGAUAAAAGGUACUCCGGGGAUAACAGGCUGAUCACGCCUGAGAGUUCAUAUCGGCGGCGUGGUUUGGCACCUCGAUGUCGGCUCAUCGCAUCCUGGGGCUGGAGCAGGUCCCAAGGGUUUGGCUGUUCGCCAAUUAAAGCGGUACGCGAGCUGGGUUCAGAACGUCGUGAGACAGUUCGGUCCCUAUCUGUCGUGGGCGCAGGAUGUUUGAAGGGAGCUAACUUUAGUACGAGAGGACCAGGUUGGACGCACCUCUGGUGUUCCGGUUGUCGCGCCAGCGGCAUAGCCGGGUAGCUAUGUGCGGAACGGAUAACCACUGAAAGCAUCUAAGUGGGAAGCCGGCCCUAAGAUGAGACAUCCCGGGACGUAAGUCCCCUGAAGACCCCUUGUAGACUACAAGGCAAUAGGCAGGGUGUGGAAGCAUGGCAACAUGUGGAGCUGACCUGUACUAAUCGGUCGUGAGGCUUGACCUG
rnacentral:rRNA from 1 species